rnacentral:rRNA from 1 species
GGACGAACGCUGGCGGCGUGCUUAACACAUGCAAGUCGAGCGGUAAAGGCCCCUUCGGGGGUACACGAGCGGCGAACGGGUGAGUAACACGUGGGUGACCUGCCCUCAGCCUCUGGGAUAAGCCUGGGAAACUGGGUCUAAUACCGGAUAUGACUCCAUGACGCAUGGUCGUGGGGUGGAAAGCCUUGUGCGGCUGGGGGAUGGGCCCGCGGCCUAUC